AAUUAUUUAUUUGAUGGUUUCUUACUACAUGGAUAACCGUAGUAAUUCUAGAGCUAAUACAUGCGUAAAGUCCCGACUCUCGCGGGGAGGGAUGUAUUUAUUAGAUAAAAAACCAAUGCGGCCUUUGGUCGGACUUGUGUUGAUUCAUAGUAACUUUUCGGAUCGCAGGGCUUCACGCCGGCGACAGUUCAUUCAAAUUUCUGCCCUAUCAGCUUUCGACGGUAGUGUAGUGGACUACCGUGGCAUUUACGGGUGACGGAGAAUUAGGGUUCGAUUCCGGAGAGGGAGCCUGAGAAACGGCUACCACA
rnacentral:rRNA from 1 species